rnacentral:rRNA from 1 species
UACGGGGGGUGCGAGCGUUGUCCGGAAUUACUGGGCGUAAAGCGUGCGCAGGCGGUUUUGUAAGCCAGAUGUGAAAUCCCCGGGCUCAACCUGGGAAUGGCAUUUGGGACUGCAAGGCUGGAGUACGGCAGAGGAGACUGGAAUUCCUGGUGUAGCAGUGAAAUGCGUAGAGAUCAGGAGGAAUACCGAUGGCGAAGGCAGGUCUCUGGGCUGAUACUGACGCUCAUGCACGAAAGCGUGGGGAGCAAACAGG